rnacentral:rRNA from 1 species
CCUACGGGUGGCAGCAGUGGGGAAUAUUGGACAAUGGGGGAAACCCUGAUCCAGCGACGCCGCGUGAGUGAAGAAGUAUCUCGGUACGUAAAGCUUUAUCAGUAGGAAAGAAAAUGACGGCACCUGACUAAGAAGCUCCGGCUAAGUACGUGCCAGCAGCCGUGGUAAUACGGAGGGGGCAAGCGUUAUCCGGAUUUACUGGGUGUAAAGGGAGCGUAGACGGCAGCGCAAGUCAGGAGUGAAAUGCCGGGGCCCAACCCCAGAACUGCAAUGGAUACUGGGAAGCUGGAGUGCAGGAGAGGUAGGCGGAAUUCCUGGUGUAGCGGUGAAAUGCGUAGAUAUCAGGAAGAACACCGACGGCGAAGGCAGCUUACUAAACUGUAACUGACAUUGAGGCUCGAAAGCGUGGGGAGCAAACAGGAUUAGAUACCCUGGUAGUC